UUUUCUAAACGGUAAUUCUC
rnacentral:snRNA from 1 species